rnacentral:rRNA from 1 species
CAAACAUGCAAGNUCGAGCGAGUCUCUUCGGAGGCUAGCGGCGGACGGGUGAGUAACACGUAGGCAACCCUGCCUCUCAGACUGGGAUAACAUAGGGAAACUUAUGCUAAUACCGGAUAGGUUUUUGGAUCGCAUGAUCCGAAAAGAAAAGAUGGCUUCGGCUAUCACUGGGAGAUGGGCCUGCGGCGCAUUAGCUAGUUGGUGGGGUAACGGCCUACCAAGGCGACNAUGCCUANCCNACCUGANAGGGUGACCGGNCCCNCUGGNACU